rnacentral:rRNA from 1 species
CCUACGGGAGGCAGCAGUGGGGAAUAUUGCACAAUGGGCGCAAGCCUGAUGCAGCGACGCCGCGUGCGGGAUGACGGCCUUCGGGUUGUAAACCGCUUUUGACUGGGAGCAAGCCCUUCGGGGUGAGUGUACCUUUCGAAUAAGCACCGGCUAACUACGUGCCAGCAGCCGCGGUAAUACGUAGGGUGCAAGCGUUAUCCGGAAUUAUUGGGCGUAAAGGGCUCGUAGGCGGUUCGUCGCGUCCGGUGUGAAAGUCCAUCGCUUAACGGUGGAUCCGCGCCGGGUACGGGCGGGCUUGAGUGCGGUAGGGGAGACUGGAAUUCCCGGUGUAACGGUGGAAUGUGUAGAUAUCGGGAAGAACACCAAUGGCGAAGGCAGGUCUCUGGGCCGUCACUGACGCUGAGGAGCGAAAGCGUGGGGAGCGAACAGGAUUAGAUACCCUGGUAGUCCACGCCGUAAACGGUGGAUGCUGGAUGUGGGGACCAUUCCACGGUCUCCGUGUCGGAGCCAACGCGUUAAGCAUCCCGCCUGGGGAGUACGGCCGCAAGGCUAAAACUCAAAGAAAUUGACGGGGGCCCGCACAAGCGGCGGAGCAUGCGGAUUAAUUCGAUGCAACGCGAAGAACCUUACCUGGGCUUGACAUGUUCCCGACAGCCCCAGAGAUGGGGCCUCCCUUCGGGGCGGGUUCACAGGUGGUGCAUGGUCGUCGUCAGCUCGUGUCGUGAGAUGUUGGGUUAAGUCCCGCAACGAGCGCAACCCUCGCCCUGUGUUGCCAGCACGUCGUGGUGGGAACUCACGGGGGACCGCCGGGGUCAACUCGGAGGAAGGUGGGGAUGACGUCAGAUCAUCAUGCCCCUUACGUCCAGGGCUUCACGCAUGCUACAAUGGCCGGUACAACGGGAUGCGACCUCGUGAGGGGGAGCGGAUCCCUUAAAACCGGUCUCAGUUCGGAUUGGAGUCUGCAACCCGACUCCAUGAAGGCGGAGUCGCUAGUAAUCGCGGAUCAGCAACGCCGCGGUGAAUGCGUUCCCGGGCCUUGUACACACCGCCCGUCAAGUCAUGAAAGUGGGUAGCACCCGAAGCCGGUGGCCCAACCUUUUUGGGGGGAGCCGUCUAAGGUGAGACUCGUGAUUGGGACUAAGUCGUAACAAGGUAGCCGUACCGGAAGGUGCGGCUG